rnacentral:rRNA from 1 species
GAUGAACGCUGGCGGCGUGCCUAAUACAUGCAAGUCGAACGCGCAGCGAAAGGUGCUUGCACCUUUCAAGCGAGUGGCGAACGGGUGAGUAACACGUGGAUAACCUGCCUCAAGGCUGGGGAUAACAUUUGGAAACAGAUGCUAAUACCGAAUAAAACUUAGUAUCGCAUGAUACAAAGUUAAAAGGCGCUACGGCGUCACCUAGAGAUGGAUCCGCGGUGCAUUAGUUAGUUGGUGGGGUAAAGGCUUACCAAGACGAUGAUGCAUAGCCGGGUUGAGCGACUGAUCGGGCACAAUGGGACUGAGAAACGGCCCAAACUCCUACGGGAGGCUGCAGUAGGGAAUCUUCCACAAUGGGCGCAAGCCUGAUGGGGGAACGCCGGGGUGGUGAUGAAGGCUUUCGGGUCGUAAAGCACUGUUGUAUGGGAAGAAAAGCUAAAAUAGGGAAUGAUUUUAGUUUGACGGUACCAUACCAGAAAGGGACGGCUAAAUACGUGCCAGCAGCCGCGGUAA